rnacentral:misc_RNA from 1 species
AGGAAUUUCUUGAGUCUCUAAUGACUGGGACUGAAAAAAUCAAGGAACCAUUCAUUAAAGAUUUCAAAGAGCACAAUGAUGACACCACAGUGCAUUUCGAUGUGAUCCUAUCUGAGGAGAACAUGAAUGCUGCAAGGCAGGAGGGGCUGGAGAAAAAAUUUAAGCUCACAACAACAGUAAGCACAAGCAAUAUGCACCUGUUUGAUGCCG